rnacentral:rRNA from 1 species
GACGAACGCUGGCGGCGUGCCUAAUACAUGCAAGUAGAACGCACAGUUUAUACCGUAGCUUGCUACACCAUAGACUGUGAGUUGCGAACGGGUGAGUAACGCGUAGGUAACCUGCCUGGUAGCGGGGGAUAACUAUUGGAAACGAUAGCUAAUACCGCAUAAUAUUGAUUAUUGCAUGAUAAUUGAUUGAAAGAUGCUAUUGCAUCACUACCAGAUGGACCUGCGUUGUAUUAGCUAGUAGGUGAGGUAACGGCUCACCUAGGCGACGAUACAUAGCCGACCUGAGAGGGUGAUCGGCCACACUGGGACUGAGACACGGCCCAGACUCCUACGGGAGGCAGCAGUAGGGAAUCUUCGGCAAUGGACGAAAGUCUGACCGAGCAACGCCGCGGGAGUGAAGAAGGUUGUCGGAUCGUAAAGCUCUGUUGUAAGAGAAGAACGGGUGUGAGAGUGGAAAGUUCACACUGUGACGGUAUCUUACCAGAAAGGGACGGCUAACUACGUG